GAGAUCUCCACGCGCUUGAGGUCUUCCAAAGGCUGAAUUCUGAGCAGCAGAUGAAAGUGAAAGGCACCAUGUCCCGCAACCACCCAGUCUCUUUGCCCACCCCAGCCCACUUUGGAAUGCCAGAACAAACACUCCUUAAACAAUAAAAAUGUUCCUGCUAAUCCCCAGCUUCCUGCUCCGGAUGGUGACUUCAGAGCCGGCAUCAGCAGCCAGGGCAGCAACAGACCGCACACAGGCUGGAGGGCACCGGGGCCAUCCAUCCUGCAGCUCUGUUCCAGCUGCUGCUGAUCUCCAGGGGCCAGUAAAACACUUGUGGGUCUGCAGUGCUCUUUAAAAAUUGCUGUGGGUCUCUUUCCUAAGUGGUAAAUGUUGUUCAUGCAGAGAGGAGAAAACUCAGUCAGGAAACUCUUCCUGGGUACAGAGCACUCUGAGCUCUCUUCUACUGCAGGAGCCAGAUUUCUUGCACCUGAAGGCGAUACUGGGAGCUCAGAGGACAGUCCUGGAGCUCUUUUGGGAUUAGGUCCACUUGGGGAUUUCUACAGUUUGGAGGUCAUUUCAUCAUAGAUUUAAAGAAGAGCUCUGUCAGUCCAUCUCAGCUGGGACCCAUGGUACCAUCUUCCCACCCAUCCCCAGCCUGCAGGCAGCUCUCACAGCCUUCUUGCUAUCCCAGCCUUCAGCUUCUGCCUGUAUUUUUCAAGCAGAAAUCCAUCCAGAGCUACAAUAACCCCCAAUCUUCUGCAUCUGAAAGCAAACACAAGGUUGAUUCUAGAUUCUUGUGCAAAGGUGAGGAAGGUGCCUCCUUGGAUUGCAAAUGCCAUUCUCUAGCAAGUGAAAGAAUCUGUAUGUACUUGAUGCAUCCUUCCAAGUUCCCUCCAUCCUACUAAUGGAAUACUCCUGAAUUUGUUAUCUGAGUUGCCUGUGGAUCCAGAUCUGCUGUUUUUCAUUGAUAAUGUGUUGGCUCCUCUCUGGAGCGUCGUGUCUCUGCUAUCAGUGGGUGUUUUAUGUGUUAUCAGAGUUAAAAGCACAGUUCAAGCAUGGCUAGCCAUCUGCCAUAUAGCUUAUUGAUUUGGAAUAAGAAAUGAAGGAGCCUUAUGUUUUUGUUAUUGUUGUAUCCGUCACUGUUUUCUUGCUCACAUCUAUAUAUAUAUACACUCACUGCUGAAGCUCAAAGGAUUUAACUGGAAACAAGCAUACUUCAUCUGGGAAUAGGACAAAGCACUUCAAAGAUUCUGAGCUUUGUUUCAGUCACUUUUGGACCUCCCCAACAAAUGUUUCUGUUGAUAAGGACACAGCAUUGUUAGCUUUGGAUCCUUCACCUAAGGGAGAAGAAAUGAGCAUGGAGUGACUGCUGCAAAUUACAAGUCAUGGGUUUCCCAAAGGCCUAUUGGCAGUUGGGCUUCCUCAGUGGUUUGAGAUGUUGCUGUCAGCUCCCAUUUGUGCAGUAGUUCAACAAAGGGUGGUUGCUUGUUCUGCUCUGGG